rnacentral:rRNA from 1 species
GGAGCACAGGUGCUGCAUGGCUGUCGUCAGCUCGUGUCGUGAGAUGUUGGGUUAAGUCCCGCAACGAGCGCAACCCCCGUCCUUAGUUGCUACCAUUUAGUUGAGCACUCUAAGGAGACUGCCGGUGAUAAGCCGCGAGGAAGGUGGGGAUGACGUCAAGUCCUCAUGGCCCUUACGGGCUGGGCUACACACGUGCUACAAUGGCGGUGACAAUGGGAUGCUAAGGGGCGACCCUUCGCAAAUCUCAAAAAGCCGUCUCAGUUCGGAUUGGGCUCUGCAACUCGAGCCCAUGAAGUUGGAAUCGCUAGUAAUCGUGGAUCAGCACGCCACGGUGAAUACGUUCCCGGGCCUUGUACACACCGCCCGUCACACCAUGGGAGUUGGUUUUACCUGAAGACGGUGCGCUAACCGAAAGGGGGCAGCCGGC